rnacentral:tRNA from 1 species
GGGCGUAGUUCAAUGGUAGAACGGCAGCUUCCCAAGCUGCUACGUCGCUGGCUCACAAUGCACCGUGGUUCACCA